UGGCUUUACAUAUUGGUCUCAGUUUGUU
rnacentral:piRNA from 1 species